AGCGCUAUCGCCAAACGGUAAGGCAACGGACUCUGACUCCGUCAUUGUCUAGGUUCGAAUCCUAGUAGCGCUG
rnacentral:tRNA from 1 species